rnacentral:rRNA from 1 species
CACGUAGGGAGCAAGCGUUGUCCGGAUUUAUUGGGCGUAAAGAGCUCGUAGGUGGUUCGGUAAGUCAGGUGUGAAACCUCCAGGCUCAACCUGGAGACGCCACUUGAUACUGCUGUGACUGGAGUCCGGUAGGGGAGCGUGGAAUUCCUGGUGUAGCGGUGAAAUGCGCAGAUAUCAGGAGGAACACCGAUGGCGAAGGCAGAUCUCUGGGCCGUAACUGACGCUGAGGAGCGAAAGCAUGGGGAGCGAACAGG